CCAACUGCGACACGCGGUGAUCGCGCGCCUGCUACGGGGAAAGGAGGACGCCGUCCGCCUAGGAUUGACGGCGCGCAGGUCGAGAAGUUACAGGCGCUGCUCGGCGGCCAUGCCGGCGGCCGCUUGGGGUUUAGCUUUGCUGACCCUCCCUUCUCGCGGGGUUCCUUUUUCGCUUCGCCGGGACGCCACGCCUGGCUACUCAGGUUUGCUUCGCCGGCAUCCGCCAUACGGCCGAGCCGAGCCGCCGAGUACGCGCCACUCUACGCACACCAUCAGGCGGUGAUCCAGGCCUCCGGCGGCACCGAAUUGUUUCUUAAUCAGCAGGCGACGCGGCUGCUCCUCUCCAUAUUUGCUGGUUCAAUCCAAUCAUCCACGUAUUUUACUCUUGUCACCGUCGCAGGCUCGCAGCCCGCAGCCCCGAUCGUCCAACGCCGCCGAGAUCGAGCGCACACGAUGCGCUCCGGCAGCGUCGCCGUGCUCCACGUCGCGCUGCGUCGCCGGCCUCCUUGCCAACGCUUCCUUCACUCUUUCGGCCUCACGCACGCUCUGCGUCGGCGUGGAGCCUCGGCCAGGAGGUGGCCUCGUUGCACUAGGUUAGGGUCGCCGACAUCGUCGGCAUCGGCCCGUCCAUGACGGUCAGACCGCUUCGCCACCGAGAUCGAGCGCACGCUGCGCCCCGGCGGCGUCGCCGUGCUCCGAUCCACGUCGCGCUGCAUCGCCGGCCUUCUUGCCAACGGCGUUACCAUCCCGGGCCUCCCCUUCCUCGUUGGCGACCAUGGCUGGGGUAGCGUCCUUCUUGUUCUUGGCCGAGGCGGCACGUCCCCAUCCUCGGCAGUCAUGGCUGUGGCCACGGCUGCAGCCACGGGGACCUCGGCGUCAGCAUCCUUGCAGGGCUCACCGUUUAUUGCAGGGGCGACGCGUUCCGGUCCUCGACGGCGGCGGUGGUUGGGGCACGGGAUCCACGCUCGCCAUGGACUCCAGCGCUCGCCGUUUGUGGCCAAGGCGGGCGGCUGCUGCCCCUGGUUGUACACGAGUGCGGCUUGUUCCAGUUUCAGAUGGACCCGGAGGCCGUGGCCGCACUGCUAAGGUCGAUCUGCACUGAACAAUGAGUUAUGUUCUGUUGACAUCCAUCGAGGCAGUGGUGGAGAACAUCAAGAAGGAAGCCUACCAAACAAGGACGGUGAGAUACAUAAUUAAUAUUACUGGAAUACGAAUUGGCUGCGUUGGAAGAAAAGAGGGUACGACUGUACAAGUAGCAAGAACCAGAUGGAGAAUUAAACCAGAUUGGAGGAGGUAUGCUAUGUUCAUUGUGAUCACUGACAUUUUCUUAGCCUGACACAUCUCAUUCAACUUUUCAUUUCAAGCAUACAUUAGCACUUAUAAGCUUAAAUAUGAAGUACAUAGAAUUAGAAAAAAAUGUUUAUUUCACCUCCAAACCUUGCUUUGGAGCUGCAAAUUGUACUCUAAUAUGAUGUUGUUUGACGUGCAAUUAUGCUUCCAAUACUCAUUGUCCUGACAUGAAUUUGGUUCCAUCUUCAAUCUAGGCACCCUUGAUUAACUGCUCUAUUCUAGCUGACUGCUCGGCAGUGGCAGCGAUAGCACUCAGGGACCUAUUGGCUUUUAGGUUAUGUACCAUUAUAAUUGCAUCAGCAGCUUGGCUCUCUCUCUCUCUCUGAUUUUUAGGAGCAAGCCCACCACCGCAGGGAUAUUCAAAUAUCAGCUUACGCAGGUAAGCAUCAUAGGACCAGCGAGAUUUCAAAUGUCAGGUAUGUGGAAUGCUAUUUCUCUCUUUGAUGCAACGAAAUUAAACUAAAAUACUAUUUGCCAAGUUUCUAUUUGUUGAAGAUUUUGUGACAGAGCUGUCAGAAUCCUAAGCUUACUUGAUAUAUUCAGCGGAACUGAUUUAACUUGGGGUUUGAUGCACUUAAUCUUUGGUAACUUCAAGUCAUAUACUCCCUCCCUCCGUCCCAGAAAACAAGUCAUCCUAAGAAUUUUAGAACAGAUUAACAAGAAUUUAAAAUGACCACAUUUGCCCCCAUUUAUUAUCCAUAUUUGACAGUAAUUGAUAUUUACAUGCAUAUGCACCUUUCAAUUAGGGUAGGGUGACUUGUUUUUUGGGAUAAAUUUUGAAUCCUAGAAAAAUAACUUAUUUUUUGGGACGGAGGGAGUACUCAUGCUUCGAUUAAAUGAGAACUAUAAUUAUGACAAGCUUGCUUGGAGGUCAUGGACUCUUAAAUAAGCUGCGUGAGAGUACCUCGAGAAACCUGGAUAUCUAAUGAGUUUAAUUGGUCAGUUAGAGAGCAGCUAAAUUUUAGAGUCACUUUGAAGGUAUUGAACCAGUUAAUUCAUAAGCACGUUGAAUAGUACGAGAUCAAAGAUAUGCCCAAACCAGAUUUUGUUGUUUGUUGAGGCACAACACAUCGAUCUAUACACUAUUAUCGACCCAUAGCCUUCACUUAUUGCUACAUUUUUUAUCUUUUUGUUCAGUAUUGCCUUUAAAAGGUGCAAUCUCUUUGUGCUUCACCAGUAUAUUUUCAUACUGAACUUUUGUACUUUUCUAGAUGGAUGAAUGUGCAACAUCUAAGAUCAUUUGCAACAGAUGAACUCAUCAAGGCUUUUGAAGAUUGGUGGAAGGACAUCGGCAUUCUCCAGGAGUCUGAAAGUGGUUUUGCAAAGUGUGCCUAAAGCUUUAGUGUGUUGUGCUGAAAAUGGACAGCUCACAAAUGGAAGGGUAAGUUUUAUUGGGACAGAUGAAGAGAUGUGCUGGAGAGAGGAAGAACAUAAAAACUAUGGAGUGAGUUGCUUGGCUUGGAUGUUUUACCUUUGUAGAUGUUAAAUCUGUACAUUUGGAAAGACUAAAUGUUUUUUAUUCAUCCUUGAUAAAAGGAAAAAUAGUGGAGUUUAACUUG